GUGCAGCAGGCGCGAAACCUCCGCAAUGCGGGAAACCGCGACGGGGUCACCCCGAGUGCCGCCCUAACGGGUGGCUGUGGCCCGGUGUAAACAGCCGGGCUUAGAAAGGGGAGGGCAAGGCUGGUGCCAGCCGCCGCGGUAAAAACCCAGCUCCUCGAGUGGUCGGGGUGAUUAUUGGGCCUAAAGCGUCCGUAGCCGGCCCCGUAAGUCCUCGGUUAAAUCCUACGGCCUAACCGUGGGACUGCCGAGGAUACUGCGGGGCUUGGGGGC
rnacentral:rRNA from 1 species